rnacentral:lncRNA from 1 species
UGGACGCGAAAUAGCUCUUCAUGCGAGUAUUAAUGAACUGUUAAGAAUAUGAAGGAGGCAAGGAGACUUGUUGCGAUAUAAGUAUUAAAAUCGGUAGGUGAGUGGUAAACGGCAGGAAGACUUUAGGAGAUUCCUACUGAGGAAUACCGAUCCAUACAAAGAUGAGAUACUAAGACUUGCACAACUCGUGUCUUAUAUACCAUUACCAAUGGAAGUAUCGUACAGUCGUCCACCAUCCCUGGACCUGAGGACACGUCCGAGAUAUGCGGCCGAGAGACCCGAGGCAAGGUCGAGGCACAGCCGAGGCAAGGUCGAGGCACGUUCGAGGCAAGGUCGAGGCACGUCCGAGGCAUCGCCUAUCACGGCUGAUUCAUCGCCUAACUACCACCCAUCUACGUUGGGAUAGGACCGCCCUUCAACAUGAACUCCCCACCAUGAUCCGUACGCACCUCCUUAACCUGCCUGCCAGAAGCGUGCUCCAGUUCCGCUAUCAUUACCACCAUCUUCUGAUAGACCUCCUCCUUGGUCGCUGUAAACGCAACAGCUGAAAGACCGGUAUGGUCGUCAAGCAGAGUUGUCACGUAACACGAACCACUAGGGGAAGGUUCAGGCAUAGGUAGGGCUGGCACGGGUACUACAUUAGAAAAGAGUACUAUACUAGAAUAGGGAGACCCCCGAAUUAGUCGGGAGCGCGAGAUUAUGGCUAGCUACUGAGAUGUGGAGUUGAGGUCACAGUUAUUGGACCAGAUUCGUACGCUGGAUUGGUGGCGAUUGCCGAACCCUCCGUCUCUUCGGUUGUUCGGGUGAAUGGAUGAGGAGGGGUCCCUGAAGGCUGGAUCCGCCGCCUUGGACUUACAGUUCGUAUGGCGAAGUACAGUGUGGUAGUGGUGGAUGGUGCUAUAAGGUGAUAAAUCGUAGAACUGAUAAUGUCAUAAAGUGGCCCAGAAGCCUCUCACUCUGUAACAUUACACAUUACACUAGAAUAGUACUAUGCAUAGUACUACAUAGUAUGCAGGGCUCUAAACUGGCACUAGUUUACGAUGCUCGUACCGCGUUCGUACAUAGUAUAAUAAUAUAGUAAAAAUAGUACUAGAUAGCACUAGAUUUGGGUUUGGAUAGUGUCAAGUAUUAGUUGGACCAAGUCGAGAUCUGCAGUCAAGCUGUAUUUUGAAGGCUAUAGCCGCGUCUUCGAGCUGUGCUACAUAGUUUUGAUGAAUAAUGUCGAGGGAAUCCAGUAUAAAUAAUGACACGGUGAUGGUGCUUGAACAGCGGGCAGCGUCACUCAGCCAGCAACAGCAACAGAGUGGAACCAGCUCCGUGCCAGCAAGGCGGAUCAGCAGGUCCACUCCAAGCACCGGCGCGGCAUUGAUGGCC